rnacentral:rRNA from 1 species
AGAGUUUGAUCCUGGCUCAGGGUGAACGCUGGCGGCGCGCUUAAUGCAUGCAAGUCGAGCGUGAUCGUGGCUUCGGCCACAAUGAUAAAGCGGCAGACGGCUGAGUAACGCGUGAGUAAUCUGCCCUCCGGUGGGGUAUAACCUCGGGAAACUGAGGAUAAUCCCGCAUACGACCUGCAUCCCUUGGGGUGCAGAUGAAAGGCUUCGGUCGCCGGAGGAGGAGCUCGCGUCCUAUCAGGUGGUUGGUGAGGUAAUGGCUCACCAAGCCGAUGACGGGUAGCUGGUCUGAGAGGAUGACCAGCCAGAGGGGGACUGAGAACGGCCCCCACUCCUACGGGAGGCAGCAGCAGGGAAUCUUGGGCAAUGGGCGAAAGCCUGACCCAGCGACGUCGCGUGGGGGACGAAGGCCUUCGGGUUGUAAACCCCUUUUCCGAGGGAAGAGAAAGGACGUACCUCG